CGAACGCUGGCGGCGCGUUUAAGCAUGCAAGUCGAACGGUAGAGUAGUGCUUGCACUACUUGAGAGUGGCGAACGGGUGAGUAACACGUAGGUGAUCUAUCUUUGGAUUUGGGAUAGCCUGUGGAAACACAGGGUAAUACCGGAUACGAGCUGGAAGCUGUGGCUUUCAGGGGAAAGGCCCUUAGGGGUCGUCCGAAGCUGAGCCUGCGGUCCAUUAGCUGGUUGGUGUGGUAAUGGCGCACCAAGGCGACGAUGGAUAGCCGGCCUGAGAGGGUGCUCGGCCACACUGGGACUGAGACACGGCCCAGACUCCUACGGGAGGCAGCAGCUAAGAAUCUUCCGCAAUGGGCGAAAGCCUGACGGAGCGACGCCGCGUGAACGAUGAAGGCCGUGAGGUUGUAAAGUUCUUUUCCUGGGGGAGAAUAACAGCCGGAGGGAAUGCCGGUUGGAUGACGUGAACCAGGGAAUAAGCCCCGGCUAAUUACGUGCCAGCAGCCGCGGUAACACGUAAGGGGCGAGCGUUGUUCGGAUUUAUUGGGCGUAAAGGGCGUGUAGGCGGUAGUGCAAGUCUGGUGUGAAAUACCCCGGCUCAACCGGGGAGGCGCGCUGGAAACUGUGCUGCUUGAGUCUAGGAGGGGGAGCUGGAAUUCCUGGUGUAGGGGUGAAAUCUGUAGAGAUCAGGAAGAACACCGGCGGCGAAGGCGAGCUCCUGGCCAUAGACUGACGCUGAGGCGCGAAAGCGUGGGGAGCGAACAGGAUUAGAUACCCUGGUAGUCCACGCUUGUAAACGAUGUGCACUAGGUGUUGGGACUGAUGAAAGUCUCGGUGCCGUAGCUAACGCGGUAAGUGCACCGCCUGGGGAGUAUGCUCGCAAGGGUGAAACUCAAAGGAAUUGACGGGGGCCCGCACAAGCGGUGGAGCAUGUGGUUUAAUUCGAUGAUACGCGAGAAACCUUACCAGGGCUUGACAUAGGCUUGACGGCUGUAGAGAUACAGCUUCCCUUCGGGGCGAGCUUACAGGUGCUGCAUGGCUGUCGUCAGCUCGUGCUGUGAAGUGUUGGGUUAAGUCCCGCAACGAGCGCAACCAUUGUCGUCUGUUGCCAACAGGUAAUGCUGGGGACUCAGGCGA
rnacentral:rRNA from 1 species